GGAAAUGAGUUGGGACUAGAUUUAAUCUCUGCAGAGAAGCUAGCUGAGAAGGCAGCAGAGAGGGAGAGAGAAGGAGGAGGAGAAGGAGAAGAAGAAGAAGAAACAUCAGCAGCAGCAGAAGAGGCGGCGGCGGCGGGUCUUUUCUCUGGUUGGGGGAGAUCGCAGAGCAGCCUGGAAGAGAGACUUCCCUCUCCUCCCUUCUCCUCCUCCCCGCGGAGCCGCUGCAAGGAAAGAAAGCGAGAGAAAUGCAGGGAUUCGUCAGGUUACGGCGCUCGGGCUGGAAGAUGUGAGCCUCGGAUGGUGCUACGCCGCGAACCGGAGCCGGCUGCUUGCACAGGCUGCUGGUGAUAUAUACCGACUUGCUCGGAGAAAGCCGGGCGGCUCGGGGUGUGUUUGUGUGUGUCCGUCCGUCCGUCUGUCUCUCACCUCUCUCUCUCUCUCUCCUCCACCCCCCUCCCCCAGCGCCCCCCUUCCUAUUUUGUGUGUUAGGAAAAGACAUCCGAGGAAUGUUGUGUGUGAGUUGAAGUUGCUGCUUGCGGCUCUUGCACCUUGAUCAUCUGCAAGCACCGGCUCCCUAUGUGUGUGUGAGAAGAGAGGAAGAGAGAGCGAGAGGGCGGGACAGAUUUCUCAAUCUUGUAACAGCCGAUUUGAGGGCGAAAAGGGGGACCUGGGCUGGGUGGUUUCAUUUUCCCGGAGCGGGUGCCUUCUUCUCCCUCUCUCCUCCUUGCAAGAGAAUUCCUAGCCCCACGCUCCCUCCUUUCCUCCCCUCCAAAGCCGGGCUGGGCGUGAUUAUUCUCUGCCUGCCCCUGCUUCUCUUAGUCCCUCUCUCCUUCUCCUUCUUCUCCUCUCUGUCUUCCCCCUUCUCUCUCCCUUUCCCUUCUCUCUCGCUCUCCCUUCCCCCCUCCCUCCCCAAUCUCUAUUGUGCGAGCCAAAGAUGAAAGACCGGAGGGGAGAAAGUUAAAGAAAUCGCCCACAUGCGCUGCAUCAGUCCGAGGCUUUGGGAAAGGAAUAAAGAGGAGGUGGGAGAAGAGAGUUUAAAGUCUUUGCAGGCGGGAAGAUGGCGGACUCAAGCUGAAAGUGUCGACUGGCAAACUUGGGCGAUCUUUGUGUUUAUUUACAAUCC
rnacentral:lncRNA from 1 species